CCUACGGGAGGCAGCAGUGAGGAAUAUUGGUCAAUGGACGCAAGUCUGAACCAGCCAUGCCGCGUGCAGGAAGACGGCUCUAUGAGUUGUAAACUGCUUUUGUACGAGGGUAAACGCAGAUACGCGUAUCUGUCUGAAAGUAUCGUACGAAUAAGGAUCGGCUAACUCCGUGCCAGCAGCCGCGGUAAUAAGGAGGAUUCAAGCGUUAUCCGGAUUUAUUGGGUUUAAAGGGUGCGUAGGCGGUCGGAUAAGUUAGAGGUGAAAUCCCGAGGCUCAACUUCGGAAUUGCCUCUGAUACUGUUUGGCUAGAGAGUAGUUGCGGUAGGCGGAAUGUAUGGUGUAGCGGUGAAAUGCUUAGAGAUCAGACAGAACACCGAUUGCGAAGGCAGCUUACCAAGCUACUUCUGACGUUGAGGCACGAAAGCGUGGGGAGCAAACAGGAUUAGAUACCCCAGUAGUC
rnacentral:rRNA from 1 species